rnacentral:rRNA from 1 species
UGGGGAAUAUUGGACAAUGGGCGCAAGCCUGAUCCAGCAAUGCCGCGUGAGUGAUGAAGGCCUUCGGGUUGUAAAGCUCUUUCGCCUGCGAGGAUGAUGACGGUAGCGGGAGAAGAAGCCCCGGCUAACUUCGUGCCAGCAGCCGCGGUAAUACGAAGGGGGCGAGCGUUGUUCGGAUUUACUGGGCGUAAAGGGCGCGUAGGCGGCGAUGUAAGUCAGGCGUGAAAGCCCCGGGCUCAACCUGGGAACUGCGCUUGGGACUACAUUGCUGGAGUUCGGGAGAGGAGCGUGGAAUUCCCAGUGUAGAGGUGAAAUUCGUAGAUAUUGGGAAGAACACCGGUGGCGAAGGCGGCGCUCUGGACCGAUACUGACGCUGAGGCGCGAAAGCGUGGGGAGCAAACAGGAUUAGAUACCCUGGUAGUCCACGCCCUAAACGAUGCAUAUUUGGUGUGGGCAGUUCAUUCUGUCCGUGCCGGAGCUAACGCGUUAAAUAUGCCGCCUGGGGAGUACAGUCGCAAGGCUG